GGUUCGAUUCUGGCUCAGAUUGAACGCUGGCGGGAUGCUACAUGCAAGUCGAACGGCAGCCUGGACUUCGGUCUGGUGGCCAGUGGCGAACGGGUGAGUAAUGUAGGAACGUGCCUAGUAGCGGGGGAUAAUACGCGAAAGCGUAGCUAAUACCGCAUACGCCCUUCGAAGCAGGGGACCUUCGGGCCUCGCACUAUUGACAGCCGAUAUCGGAUUGACCAGUUCUGGUGGGGUAACGGCUCGCAGGCGACGAUCCGUAGCUGGUUUAGAGAGGACGACCAGCCACACUGGGCCAGAGCUUUGGCGCCAGACUCCUACGGGAGGCAACAGUGGAUACCAGAGACAAUGAAGCUGAUCCAGCCAUACCCGCGUGUGCGAUGAAGGCGCACAGGAGUUGUAAAAAACGCGGCAGGAAAGAAACGGCACGGGAUAAUGCUGUUCGGCGUUACCGGGGAAUAAGCACCGGCUAACUACGUGCCAGCAGCCGCGGUAAUACGUAGGGUGCAAGCGUUAAUCGGAAUUACUGGGCGUAAAGCGUGCCAGGCGGUUCGGAAGAUGUGAUCCCAGAGCUUACUAACGCAGUUCGCGGCUUCAACUACCGAGCUAGGUGUGGAGGGAGGUGGAGAUUAACAGUAGCAGUGAAAUGCGUAGAUAUGCGGAGGAACACCGAUGGCGAAGGCAGCCUCCUGGGAUAACACUGACGCUCUUUGCGGCGGGAGCAAACAGGAUUAGAUACCCUGGUAGAUACGCCCUAAACGUCAACUAGCUGUUUGUGGGCAUACCGGGCCUUGGUAGCGCAGCUAACGCGCUGUGAAGAUGAGCCGCCUGGGAAGUACAGUCGCAAGAUUAAAACUCAAAGGAAUUGACGGGGACCCGCACAAGCGGGCCGGGUGAAUCAUGGAUUAAUUCGUUGCUUGCGAAAACCUUACCUACCGCCGCGACGUAUGGAAUCCCGAAGAGAUUUGGGAGUGCUCGCAAAAGAAACCAGGAACAGGUGCUGCAUGGCUGUCGUCAGCUCGUGUCGUGAGAUGUUGGGUUAAGUCCCGCAACGAGAAGCAGCCCUUGUCGUGGAUUGCCUUUCCCCAAAAGGGCACUCGACCGAGAUACCGAUGACGCAAACCGGAGGAAGGUGGGAUGACGUCAGGUCACUCGGCUGCCAUAUGGGUGAGCUAAUAUCAUGCAAUGUGGUCGGGACGGGGGUCGCGCAAACGCGAGGGGGAGCCAAUCCCAGAGGCUGAAUCGUAGUCGGGAUGUAGUGCAACUCGACUUCGGCGUGGAGACAGAUCUUCAGUAAUCGCGGAUCAGCAUGUCUCGCGGUCUGAAUACGUUCGAUUAUACCACCGCCGUCUUUCAUGAAGUGGUUUUACCGAAAUAGUUCUGGCCUAGCCGCCGAAGGCGUUCUACGGUAAGUUCAUGACUGGUGCAAGUCGUAACUAGUUAACCUAUUACUAUAUUAUCGGCG
rnacentral:rRNA from 1 species